AGUUUAAAGGUUCUCACGAGAAGAGGAGCUCUCGCACCCGCUCUGUCUCCUGUGCCUGGGGUUACCAUGGAGACAAGGAGACUCUUGGCCUAGCCGGGAAGCUGCGCUGGGAGCUGGGCGGCUAUUCAGGUUCUGUUCCAUGAUUAUGGUGAGGCUGAAAUCUGUGAAGUAAUAGCAGAGUUCUUCACCACCUCUAGUGGGAACACCCAGUCCUUGGACAUAAGGAGACAGGCAAGACCAAGACCUCCGAGAUUUAUUUUGCUGAAUUUGCAGAAAAAACACUUCUAGUGUACCUGGAGAAUGUGCUUGUACCAGACAGCUUGUUUACAGAGCUUAAGAAACGGAUCCACCUCUGCUUUUUUGAGCACCUUGAGAAGUGGUUUGCUCAAUCCUUGUCCAACUCCUGGAUCAUUGUAACUGCCAAGAAAGAGGAGCUGAAUUCGGAGCUGCAACUGCGUCUUCACAUGCAUCAGCCAAGGCGCGAGCGCAUAGAAGAGGAUAUCCAUAAUGUCAGGGCUGGUACAUAUAUUCACUUUGGGCAUCACGUCUCUUUUUUAGAGCUCUCCAGGUGUGAGUCAUAACGAGGCACAGCAGUGGCUACUGUUAAUUGAUUCAAUAUUGGGGAAUAAUGUGGGUUCAAGGGGCCUUUUCUAGCUCCUACCCUAAACUUGCUAGUUUCUUACAUAUUGGGGGGUUUUGUUAACUUUCCUUUUUCAUAGCUCACAUUUGUUUCCUCCUGAGCUGAUUGUUAACAAUGCAGAGCAUUCACAGGUCCCAUUGAAGUCAAUAGGAGCAAUGGAUGCUCAGUCCCUGCUUCCCCACAAGCUUGGCUGCAGCUCCCCUUCGGGCAGAGAGCUGGGAAGCUAUCAUUUUGAUUUUCCUAAUGGAAAAUCAAUUUUUUGUGUGUGCAAAAUUGAAAUUUUCCCACAGAAAAAUUUGGCUUUGCAAAAGGAGCAUUAUCCGUUAUACCAGGGAUAGGCAACCUAUGGCAUGCGUGCGGAAGGCGGCACGCGAGCUGAUUUUCAGUGGCACUCACACUGCCCGGG